GCCUAAUACAUGCAAGUCGAGCGAGCGGAACUAACAGAUUUACUUCGGUAAUGACGUUAGGAAAGCGAGCGGCGGAUGGGUGAGUAACACGUGGGGAACCUGCCCCAUAGUCUGGGAUACCACUUGGAAACAGGUGCUAAUACCGGAUAAGAAAGCAGAUCGCAUGAUCAGCUUUUAAAAGGCGGCGUAAGCUGUCGCUAUGGGAUGGCCCCGCGGUGCAUUAGCUAGUUGGUAAGGUAAAGGCUUACCAAGGCGAUGAUGCAUAGCCGAGUUGAGAGACUGAUCGGCCACAUUGGGACUGAGACACGGCCCAAACUCCUACGGGAGGCAGCAGUAGGGAAUCUUCCACAAUGGACGCAAGUCUGAUGGAGCAACGCCGCGUGAGUGAAGAAGGUUUUCGGAUCGUAAAGCUCUGUUGUUGGUGAAGAAGGAUAGAGGUAGUAACUGGCCUUUAUUUGACGGUAAUCAACCAGAAAGUCACGGUUAACUACGUGCCAGCAGCCGCGGUAAUACGUAGGUGGCAAGCGUUGUCCGGAUUUAUUUGGCGUAAAGCGAGCGCAGGCGGAAGAAUAAGUUUUAUGUGAAAGCCCUCGGCUUAAC
rnacentral:rRNA from 1 species